GUUUCAUUAAAACCCAAAGCAUUUGACAAACUGUAUUUUCAGAAAGUUUUUUCCGUGAGUUGGUUUCUAGCAGGAGGAAUUUAUGAUGAGCUGACUUAAUCCUUGCUUUUUGGAGGCGUCUAAAAAAAGUUCUUUCUAUAAACAGCUGAAUUGCGUGAGGAGAACGGCAGACCAAGCAAUGGCUAGGACGUCUUUGUGAAAAAGCUCACCCCAUGCCGUUGUAAAGGCCCCGUGCGCUGCCCAGCUUUGGCGUCUACCUCCUGAGCUAAUUGUGCUGUCUGGAGGUUGGCAGGCUUCCAGCCUUACCUGGACCAGUUUCGCUCCCAAACCCAGGUUGCCUGUGUAUUCACUUAUCACAACAAACCACUGUGAAAUCAUUCACAGACUUUGGAAAUCACAUACGUAAGAUCUGCUGCCUGCGUGCUUGCCUGGAAGCCGACAUCAAGCCCAUUUGGCCAGAAAUACCUCUAGAGGUGGAGCUGGUCCAGAAGACUGGACCCCCAGAGUGCUAUGGAAUGUCUAUGGGAACAAAGGAUGAUCUAAUGGACAACAGAGAAACACGAUGAUCUGGUAGGAGGUCCCUAGAAGAAUGGCUUCAAGUGAGACCUAGAAAUACACCCAAUGGGUUAGUCUUUGGGAAGCUUGAUGAGAAUAAACUUCCAGUAGAUUUUGAAGGUCAACCUUUGUUGUGAAGGGAGGUGGGGUAGAGUGGGCUUUUAGGGGCUGGGAGAAAAGAUAAACCAUCCUGUCGUCUGGCCCUCUACUGUCCAUUUUCCUCACCAGGACCAGGGAAAAGGGAGGCAAGCUGGGCACCGAGGGAGACAAAAUUUCAGGAGCUGCUCACUGCUGUGUACUUGCAGUACUGUAGCCACAAGGAUCUUUCAAACAUGCAUAUAUGAGUGUAUCAAAGACUAGACCAAAUACCUUAAUAGGGCUCUGCCAACCUGGGAUCUCUUGAAUGUAAAAUGCAGCUUGUAGGUCAGAAGGGAGAUUCUGAGAGUGUGCCUUCCUAACUAGCUGCCAAGGUGAUGCUGAUGCUGCUGGCCUGGGGACCACAGAACAGUGAGGGUUCAGGUGCCAGUAAAGUCAGGAUAUCAGCUGGGUCUGGCCUACCACCUGUUUUUGUAAAUAAAGUUUUAUAAGAACACAUUCCUUUACAUAUGGUUUAUGAGUGCCUUCUAGUUACAGCAGCAGAGUUGAAUAGUUGCAACAGACUGCAUGACCCAUAAAUCCGAAAUUACUAUCUGCCCUUUACAGAAAAGUUUGCCAAUCCCGCUUUAUGAAAUCUAUCUGUUUUUC
rnacentral:lncRNA from 1 species